rnacentral:rRNA from 1 species
UACGUAGGGUGCGAGCGUUAAUCGGAAUUACUGGGCGUAAAGCGUGCGCAGGCGGUUCUCCAAGUCCGUUGUGAAAGCCUCGGGCUCAACCUGGGAAUGGCAGUGGAAACUAGGGGACUGGAAUCUGGCAGGGGGGGUGGAAUGCCGCGUGUAGCAGUGAAAUGCGUAGAGAUGCGGCGGAACACCGAUGGCGAAGGCAGCCCCCUGGGCUGAGAUUGACGCUCAGGCACGAAAGCGUGGGGAGCAAACAGG